UACUACAGAGGUGCAAGGGUUGUCGCUGACCUUUCCAAAAGGUCGUGCACGCCCGAGCGCUCUCAAUCCAUUUCACCCCUUGUGCAUCACCGCGCGGGGUCGCUCCCUCUUGGCUUGCUUCGAGAGGGGGAGGCUCGCGUUUUUCACACAUAAACACCCUUCUAGUUUAGAAUGUCAUUCAUUUGCGAUCACACGCAAUCAAUACAACUUUCAACAACGGAUCUCUUGGCUCUCGCAUCGAUGAAGAACGCAGCGAAAUGCGAUACGUAAUGUGAAUUGCAGAAUUCAGUGAAUCAUCGAAUCUUUGAACGCAUCUUGCGCCCCUUGGUAUUCCGAGGGGCACACCCGUUUGAGUGUCGUGAAAUUCUCAAACCUUCUUGGUUUCUCGAUCAAGAUGGCUUUGGACUUUGGAGGCAUUUUGCUGGCUUUGCGAAAAGCCAGCUCCUCUUAAAUACAUUAGUGGGGUCCCCUUUGCCGAUCCCCAGGCGUGAUAAGAUGUUUCUACGUCUUGGGAUUUGCUCUGUUCCUUGGGAACCCGCUUAUAACCGUCUCAUGGGAGACAUCGUUCGAGCAUGCUCGACCCACGAACCUUG
rnacentral:rRNA from 1 species